rnacentral:rRNA from 1 species
GAUGAACGCUAGCGGGAGGCUUAACACAUGCAAGUCGAGGGGCAGCAUAGGGUAGCAAUACUCUGAUGGCGACCGGCAAACGGGUGAGUAACGCGUAUGCAACCUACCCUGUACAGGGGGAUAACCCGGAGAAAUUCGGACUAAUAUCCCGUAAUAAUAUCCGGAGGCAUCUUUGGAUAUUUAAAGUUCCGACGGUACGGGAUGGGCAUGCGUAACAUUAACUGGUUGGUAAGGUAACGGCUUACCAAGGCUAUGAUGUUUAGGGGUCCUGAGAGGGUGGUCCCCCACACUGGUACUGAGACACGGACCAGACUCCUACGGGAGGCAGCAGUGAGGAAUAUUGGUCAAUGGGCGCAAGCCUGAACCAGCCAUCCCGCGUGCAGGAAGACGGCCCUAUGGGUUGUAAACUGCUUUUCCAGGGAGAGAAACUUACGCACGUGUUGCGUGACUGACGGUACCCUGGGAAUAAGCAUCGGCUAACUACGUGCCAGCAGCCGCGGUAAGAUCACGUGUA